rnacentral:rRNA from 1 species
GAUGAACGCUGGCGGCGUGCCUAAUACAUGCAAGUCGAGCGAACAGAUGAGAAGCUUGCUUCUCUGAUGUUAGCGGCGGACGGGUGAGUAACACGUGGGUAACCUACCUAUAAGACUGGGAUAACUCCGGGAAACCGGGGCUAAUACCGGAUAAUAUUUUGAACCGCAUGGUUCAAUAGUGAAAGACGGUUUCGGCUGUCACUUAUAGAUGGACCCGCGCCGUAUUAGCUAGUUGGUAAGGUAACGGCUUACCAAGGCGACGAUACGUAGCCGACCUGAGAGGGUGAUCGGCCACACGGGAACUGAGACACGGUCCAGACUCCUACAGGAGGCAGCAGUAGGGAAUCUUCCGCAAUGGGCGAAAGCCUGACGGAGCAACGCCGCGUGAGUGAUGAAGGUCUUCGGAUCGUAAAACUCUGUUGUUAGGGAAGAACAAAUUUGUUAGUAACUGAACAAGUCUUGACGGUACCUAACCAGAAAGCCACGGCUAACUACGUGCCAGCCGCCGCGGUAA